rnacentral:rRNA from 1 species
CCUACGGGGGGCAGCAGUGGGGAAUAUUGGACAAUGGGCGAAAGCCUGAUCCAGCCAUGUCGCGUGUGUGAAGAAGGCCUUCGGGUUGUAAAGCACUUUCAGUGGGGAAGAAAGCCUUGGGGCUAAUACCCUCGAGGAAGGACAUCACCCACAGAAGAAGCACCGGCUAACUCCGUGCCAGCAGCCGCGGUAAUACGGAGGGUGCGAGCGUUAAUCGGAAUUACUGGGCGUAAAGCGCGCGUAGGCGGUCUGAUAAGCCGGUUGUGAAAGCCCCGGGCUCAACCUGGGAACGGCAUCCGGAACUGUCAGGCUAGAGUGCAGGAGAGGAAGGUAGAAUUCCCGGUGUAGCGGUGAAAUGCGUAGAGAUCGGGAGGAAUACCAGUGGCGAAGGCGGCCUUCUGGACUGACACUGACGCUGAGGUGCGAAAGCGUGGGUAGCAAACAGGAUUAGAUACCCGGGUAGUC